UAGAGYUUGAUCMUGGCUCAGAUUGAACGCUGGCGGCAGGCCUUACACAUGCAAGUCGAGCGGCAGCACGAGAAAGCUUGCUUUCUUGGUGGCGAGCGGCGGACGGGUGAGUAAUACAUGGGAAUCUGCCCGAUAGUGGGGGACAACGUUUCGAAAGGAACGCUAAUACCGCAUACGUCCUACGGGAGAAAGCAGGCUUAGGCUUGCGCUAUCGGAUGAGCCCAUGUCGGAUUAGCUUGUUGGUGAGGUAAUGGCUCACCAAGGCGACGAUCCGUAACUGGUCUGAGAGGAUGAUCAGUCACACCGGAACUGAGACACGGUCCGGACUCCUACGGGAGGCAGCAGUGGGGAAUAUUGGACAAUGGGGGCAACCCUGAUCCAGCCAUGCCGCGUGUGUGAAGAAGGCCUUCGGGUUGUAAAGCACUUUCAGCGAGGAGGAAAGCAGUAAGGUUAAUACCCUUAUUGUGUGACGU
rnacentral:rRNA from 1 species